UUUAACCUGUGUGUGGAUAGUGUUCAGCACCAAGGACAGGCAUGUUUAGUUGUGUGUGGAUGAUGUUCAACACAAAGGACUGAUGUAUUUAACCUGUGUGUGGAUAGUGUUCAGCACCAAGGACAGGCAUGUUUAGUU
rnacentral:pre_miRNA from 1 species